UACGUAGGGGGCUAGCGUUGUCCGGAAUCAUUGGGCGUAAAGCGCGCGUAGGCGGCCCGGUGAGUCCGCUGUAAAAGUCAAAGGCUCAACCUUUGAAUGUCAGUGGAUACUGCCGGGCUAGAGUCCGGAAGAGGCGAGUGGAACUCCUGGUGUAGCGGUGGAAUGCGCAGAUAUCAGGAAGAACAUCGGUGGCGAAGGCGCUCUGCUGGACCAUAACUGACACUCAGGGACGAAAGCUAGGGGAGCGAAUGGG
rnacentral:rRNA from 1 species